rnacentral:lncRNA from 1 species
AUGAUUGUCCGUGGUGCUGGGGGAGGGGAAGCCCAAACGUGGGCAGAGGCUCCUCUCCCAGCACAAAGCUGCCCCCCUGCCCCCCACUCCGCAAACGAGCCCCCGGAGUCGGAGUCUCAAGAGGCAACACACGUGUCUCGGUUCCACCUUCCAGAACGCGAGCUGUCCUGGUGCCGGCCCGGGCAGGUGGGCCAACGCCCUUCCUCCUCGCGCCCCGCCACCGCCCGCAGGGGACCCCGCUCUCCGGGAGGGGUCCCCGAGGGUCCAGCCGCCAGUGCCCAGCACCGCGGGGCCGGCAUGGGGCCCCCGGCCGCCGCGCUUACCAGUAGACGACUCGGACGGCGAGGGCCAUGGCUGGGGCCGCAGCGCGGGCGGGAGCGGACGGCGAGCUCCGCAGCCGCGGCCGCCGCCCCAGGGGGUGACCCCGCGCUCCACGGCGCGAACCAACGCGCGGGGGGGGGCGCAGAGGGCGGCGGCGGCGCGCGCCCACGGGGGCGGCCCCGGGACCCUGCGGCGCCACCCGGGCCCCCACGCAGGGCCCCUCCCCUCCCGCCCGGGGGCUGGACGUCCCGAUGGGAGCCCCCGGGGGAGCCUCUCUGCGCGCCCCCUCCCGGCCCCCCCUCCGGGCCCGAAUGGUGUGGCCCCGCAGGGCGGAGAGAACGCGCGGGAGCGGAGGGCGGUGGUUUUCCGGCGGGGGCGGGGGGCGCGGACCCCUUUCCCACCCGAGAGCGUGAGAGGGCCGAGGCCUCGGCACUGAGGGUGCGCAGGGCGACCCCACCCGCCGCCCGGGAGCCCAGGGUUCCAGCAAACUGCAGGCAGCGGCUGCCUUACUCAGGCCUGGCAGCUGGAGCCCUGGGGGGGCUCCGUGCUCUCCGGCCUUCCCCAAGGCGGGGCUUCCGGACAGUGCUGGAGGGGCGCUCGGUGGCGGUGGCGGAGCGGCUGCCUCUGGCUCACGUCCUGACCCCGGGGUCCUGGGAUCGAGUCCCGCAUCGCGCUCCCCGCAGGGAGCCUGCUUCUCCCUCUGCCUGGGUCUCUGCCUCUCUCUGGGUCUCUCAUGAAUAA